CAACUUGAGAGUUUGAUUCUGGCUCAGAACGAACGCUGGCGGCAUGCCUAACACAUGCAAGUCGAACGAGAACGCACCUUCGGGUGUUAGUAGAGUGGCGCACGGGUGAGUAACGCGUGGGAAACUACCUAGCAGUGGGGAAUAACUUUUGGAAACGAAAGCUAAUACCGCAUAC
rnacentral:rRNA from 1 species